rnacentral:rRNA from 1 species
AUUCCAGCUCCAAUAGCGUAUAUUAAAGUUGUUGCAGUUAAAAAGCUCGUAGUCGGAUUUUGGCAUCACGCCGAACUGUCUGCCGAUUGGUAAGUACGGUUUGGCGGGUGCUUCCUUCCGGAGGCUCGUUCCCUUCUUCAUUGAAGGGUUCGUUGGUUCCGGGUCUUUUACUUUGAGAAAAUUAGAGUGUUCAAAGCAGGCCUAUGCUCUGAAUAGGUUAGCAUGGAAUAAUAGAAUAGGACUUUGGUUCUAUUUUGUUGGUUUCUAGGACCGAAGUAAUGAUUAAUAGGGACAGUCAGGGGCACUCGUAUUCCGCCGGGAGAGGUGAAAUUCUCAGACCAGCGGAAGACGAACCACUGCGAAAGCAUUUGCCAGGGAUGUUUUCAUCA